CUACGCUGCUGACCUGGUACGUGUGAGGUGUUCCGCCCUCCAGUUCCUGUCGCUUUGUGACGCUGACCCCAGGAGCAGGAGUGGACAGCAGGACACCCGGCAGUCAGGAAUGGAGUCUGUGACCUUUGAGGUUCUGGCUGUGAACUUCACCUUGGAGGAAUGGGCUCUGGUGGAUUCUUCUCAAAAGAAGCUCUACAAAGAUGUGAUGCUGGAAAUCUUCACGAGCCUGGCUGCUGUAGGAAGAAAACAGGAAGACCCCAAUAGUGAAGAUGACUACAGAUAAUUCCAGGAGAAAUGUAAGAUGUCAAGUCUUGAAAACACUUUGUGAAAAAAAAGGCAUCAAGUGGGUUCCACACAUAAUUGUGAAUAGGAAAACUGGAGUAAAACUGUGUGAAAGAAGUCCUCAUGGGUCAUUCAUCACUAAAUGUGCCCACCAGUGUUCAGAUGGGACACAAAAAUUAUGAACACCUGGAAUAUGGAGAGGAGCUAUAUAAAUGUUUGGAAUGUGGGAGAACUUUCAGCUAUGCCAAAUGCUUUGAGGAGCAUAAACGAUCUCACACUGGAGAAAAGCAGAAUGUAUGUAAAUACUGUGGGAAAGUCUUUACUUAUCCCAGUUUUCUUCUGUGCCAUGAAAGGACGCACCCUGGGGAGAGACCCUACUUUUGUGAACUAUGUGGAAAAGCCUUUAAUCGUGUGAGUUUGCUUCGAAGACGUGAACACACUCACUGUGGAGGGAAGCGCUGUGUUUGUAAUCAGUGUGGGAAAGUAAAGACAUCCUUAUUCUUACAUCCUGGGUGGAUGCAUCCGGGCAGGAUUGUCAAAGUAGUGAGGAUGACAGUUAAAGUUUAUUAAAGGUUAGGGAAGUGAGGUACAAAAGGCCAUGCCUGGCCAGAGGGAAGCUGAAAGUAGUGAGAGAGAGAGAGCGAGAGAGAGCGAGAGAGCUCUGUUUCACUGCUAACCUGUGGGAGGGGAAAAACUUGAGCAGUUUUUGAUCACCAAUAAUCAGUGAGUGGGGAGGGGGUUGGGUGGUCCCCAGGCUAGCAUGUGAUCAAUAUUCAUAUUUUUAUCUGAGGGAUGAUGAGGGGUAGAAGCACCCACAGGCUUUUAUCUUACAAUUUAUAACAGGAGAGGAGAGCAUUGGACUGAGCAAGGAGUUUAGCAUGGUACGUGCCAAGGUAAGUUACAUGUGGGGUCUGAGGAGUUCUGUGGCAUUUUUGUAUGUCCUAGCCUGCCUCAGAUUUACAGUGGAGAGAAUCUCUCUGUAUGUGAGCAGUGUGGGAAAGGCUUGUCUUGUUUGAGUCAGGUUUGAAAAUCUGAAUGAACCCACACUGGGCAAAUUUCAUUGACAGAGAAUGGGAAUUCCUUAGUCUAGAGUGUGGAAAGGCGUCAUUACCAUAUGAACCUUCAGAAUAGGGAAGAAGAUAAGCAAGGUGUCAGUUCAACCUCCUUUCCAAAUUCCUUCUGUAGUGGAAUCAUAUGAGUGACUUUUGAUACUAAGUAAUUUAUGCAGAAUGUUCCACAAAUCACACAACCUGAAGGAAAUCUUCUAAAGUUAUAUUGUGCUUACCCAUGGGUCUCUUGAAGUAGAUCUGUGGAUAUGUAUUUCUAAUGUUCACUCCUGAAAAUAAAGACAUAGUUCUCUAAGGUUUGUUUAAGCAAUAGUGUGUUAGUUUACUCUGGUACUUAACUUUGAUCCUUUCAUUUUGAGUCAUGUUGGGUGAUUGUGUGAUUUCAAGUGUAUUUCCACUGUUCUAUAAGACAAUUUUUAUGUGUUUUAAAACUUUUUACCCUUUUUUUCUUUUGUGGUUCUGCAGCUUGAACUCAGGGGUUUUGUUGAGUC